rnacentral:rRNA from 1 species
UACGUAGGGGGCAAGCGUUGUCCGGAUUUAUUGGGCGUAAAGAGCGUGUAGGCGGUCAGGUAGGUCCGUUGUGAAAACUCGAGGCUCAACCUCGAGACGCCGAUGGAAACCAUCUGACUAGAGUCCGGAAGAGGAGAGUGGAAUUCCUGGUGUAGCGGUGAAAUGCGCAGAUAUCAGGAAGAACACCCGUGGCUAAGGCGGCUCUCUAGUACGGUACUGACGCUGAGACGCGAUAGCGUGGGGAGCGAACAGG